rnacentral:sRNA from 1 species
ACCCCUCACGACGCAGACAUGGCAGCGCAGAAGGACCAGCAGAAAGAUGCCGAGGCGGAAGGGCUGAGCGCCACGUGAGCGAGCUGGCUCUAGGCCCUUGGACCCGAGACCCAGGAGUCCGGGCCCCCGGCCCCCUCCUCCCUCGAGAGCCUGGAGUCCCAGCCCCGAGACGCAGAAGUGUUGGCCCGGGUCUCCUCUAAUGGGACCCUGGAGUCUGGGCCCCUAGCCCCUGCCUGCGGUCCAGGAAUCUGGGGUCCCGGGAGGGAGUCCGGGCCCCCUUAGUCCUCUUCUUUUGCGGGGGUCUGGGGCUCCAUCCCGGUCCACCACUGACCCGGCCCCACCCCCCGCAGGACCCUACUGCCGAAGCUGAUUCCCUCCGGUGCAGGCCGGGAGUGGCUGGAGCGCCGCCGCGCGACCAUCCGUCCCUGGAGCACCUUCGUGGACCAGCAGCGCUUCUCACGGCCCCGCAACCUGGGCGAGCUCUGCCAGCGCCUCGUACGCAACGUGGAGUACUACCAGAGCAACUAUGUGUUCGUAUUCCUGGGCCUCAUCCUGUACUGCGUGGUGACGUCCCCUAUGUUGCUGGUGGCUCUGGCUGUCUUUUUCGGCGCCUGUUACAUUCUUUAUCUGCGCACCUUGCAGUCCAAGCUUGUGCUCUUUGGCCGAGAGGUGAGCCCAGCGCAUCAGUACGCUCUGGCUGGAGGCAUCUCCUUCCCCUUCUUCUGGCUGGCUGGUGCGGGCUCGGCC